rnacentral:rRNA from 1 species
GACGACCGCUGGCGGCGUGCUUAACACAUGCAAGUCGAACGGAAAGGCCCUGCUUUUGUGGGGUGCUCGAGUGGCGAACGGGUGAGUAACACGUGAGUAACCUGCCCUUGACUUUGGGAUAACUUCAGGAAACUGGGGCUAAUACCGGAUAGGAGCUCCUGCUGCAUGGUGGGGGUUGGAAAGUUUCGGCGGUUGGGGAUGGACUCGCGGCUUAUCAGCUUGUUGGUGGGGUAGUGGCUUACCAAGGCUUUGACGGGUAGCCGGCCUGAGAGGGUGACCGGCCACAUUGGGACUGAGAUACUGCCCAGACUCCUACGGGAGGCAGCAGUGGGGAAUAGUGCACAAUGGGCGGAAGCCUGAUGCAGCAACGCCGCGUGCGGGAUGACGGCCUUCGGGUUGUAAACCGCUUUCGCCUGUGACGAAGCGUGAGUGACGGUAAUGGGUAAAGAAGCACCGGCUAACUACGUG